CUCAGACCCUCAGACCCAAUUUAUCUCUUGCUCUGCUUCCUCAUCCUCUUCUCUAACCUAACUGCGCGGCGCCUCUUUUUUUCUUCUUCAUCUUCUUCUCUUCUCCUCUAUUAUGUGCGAAGCUUUUGGCAGAUUUCCCCUAAAUUAUUUUCUUUAUUUCGUUGGUUUGUUUUUCAAUCGUAUUAUUCAGAGGUUUAUAAAAGUUGAAGAGGGAGUUAUUGAGUUUUCUUACUCUUCAGAGUUUAUACGACUGAAUAUUACCAAACCCUAACCCUGAAUCACUCAGAACGCACGCACAAUUUUACCUGUUUUCAUUACCUUCUCAACCCAUAGUUGUUCAUACGGUAUCACGAACCUAAUCUUCGUUUUACCUUCUGAAACCCUACUUUGAUUUUGUUGUAUUUCCAUAGAAGUAGAAGAAACGGCAUAUCGAUUUACUAUUGAUAGGCCAAACCUAUCGCUACACUUUAAUGCUUGAUAAAGUGAUCUCUCUUCCUCCAUCAGGCUCUCUUUCUCCAUCUCGAAGCUAUAGUUGGCUUCCGUUGAUGUGCAGGCAUUAGUGAAAGAGGCAUAUGAUCUGGAUCCUUCAGCACGGAAGUGUUUGGGCACCGACGCUGUUACCAUGAUAUUUGGCGCUGAUCGAACGGUUUACAUACGUGGAACUCGUGUUUCUAAAAUAUAUAAAGGCCCAGUUGCAGGAAGUGACAAUGUGCGGAAAGAGAAGUACAAAAACGAAUUUUUAGAAGCGCAGUUGGAUAUGCUGAUAGACAGAAAUACAAUACUGGAGUACAUGAUCAUAUCCCUAAUAGCUCUUAUCAGCAGGAUACUGGAGUCCCAGCAAGAACAUUGACGUUUGGUCUCUGAUUUUGAGGAACUUAAGGAAAAGACUGGCAGCAUCUAUAUAUGUUGAUGGUGAAAAGCUGUGAUUGAUGGCAACUAUGAAUGCAUAAUUGAUGAAAUCAUUGAUCCAAGGGCGAUGUUAUGCGAUAGAGAUGAUGUAUUAGUUGGGGAUGUUUCAAGAGGUGACAUGAUAACUGGCCAAAAGCUUAUGUAAAUUAGAGUGGCAAGGCGGAUGUAGAUUGAAUUCAGUUCUAAUUUCCAAUAUGUAUUAUUUAUCUUUGGAUUUGUAUUUGAAGAUUUUGUUUUCUUCGAUGUCAUGUUGGAUAAUUAAUAAAAUCAAUUUCACAUUCAACUGAAA